rnacentral:rRNA from 1 species
UGGGGAAUAUUGCACAAUGGGCGCAAGCCUGAUGCAGCCAUGCCGCGUGUAUGAAGAAGGCCUUCGGGUUGUAAAGUACUUUCAGCGGGGAGGAAGGGAGUAAAGUUAAUACCUUUGCUCAUUGACGUUACCCGCAGAAGAAGCACCGGCUAACUCCGUGCCAGCAGCCGCGGUAAUACGGAGGGUGCAAGCGUUAAUCGGAAUUACUGGGCGUAAAGCGCACGCAGGCGGUUUGUUAAGUCAGAUGUGAAAUCCCCGGGCUCAACAUGGGAACUGCAUCUGAUACUGGCAAGCUUGAGUCUCGUAGAGGGGGGUAGAAUUCCAGGUGUAGCGGUGAAAUGCGUAGAGAUCUGGAGGAAUACCGGUGGCGAAGGCGGCCCCCUGGACGAAGACUGACGCUCAGGUGCGAAAGCGUGGGGAGCAAACAGG